rnacentral:rRNA from 1 species
GCCAAGAAAAGCCACUAAGUUUAUUAUAUGUUGCCCGUACCGUAAACCGACACAGGUGGGUGGGAUGAGUAUUCUAAGGCGCGUGGAAGAACCCUCUUUAAGGAACUCUGCAAAAUAGCACCGUAUCUUCGGUAUAAGGUGUGCCUACUUUGGUAUAUGGACUUGCUCCAAAAAGCUGAAGAGGUUGCAACAAAGAGUCCCUCCCGACUGUUUACCAAAAACACAGCACUUUGCUAACACGUAAGUGGAUGUAUAAGGUGUGACGCCUGCCCGGUGCUCGAAGGUUAAUUGAUGAUGUCAGCGCUGUCUC